CUUUGUUUUGUAGAACAUACCUCUUCUUAGGUCGCCACAAGUUAAAUGGCUGCUCCGCUGCUCAUCGGUCUCCAUACCCCUUCUCCUCCAAGCUAGUACCGUUCUUACCGUUACCACAGUCGGAUACAAGGACGAUUCAGAAACGUAGCGAACAAGAGUGGCUAAGCCCGAAAGUAAAUAAAUCGGAACACGUAUAGUACACAAACUACGUUACGUAUUCUUAUUGGUAGGUUAACCACCUGAAGUAAAACACACACACUUCUCAUGUCUCACCUUAGUGAUAUCGUCUAUCGGAGUUAGAAGUAUUGGCUCACAGCGUUGACUCGGCGUACACUUCAAAUAGUAUUUAAAUACAAGAUCUAUGUUUGCACAAUCGUGUUUUCAAUAACCUCCAGCGCAGCGAGGAGGUCCCCGCUGUGCCCGCCUUCGGGGUUUAGGGCGGCCGGAGGGGAGGAGGGACGGGAGAGGGGAGCGGUGGCAGCUUCCUGUACCGGCCCGCUUCGGGCAGCGGACCUGCCGCCACCGCCCCGAAGGGGUAGAGCGCCGCUGCGCCCACACCGGCUAGACCACGCCGCCGGUGCCACCACCAGGAGCCACGUAGAACGCGCUCUCGAGCCGACCCGCGCCUAGACCCCGGCGAGACGGGCCUAGACGCGCACCACCCGCGCCGCCCCCGAGAAACACCGCCGAGACGAGGACGGGACGAACCGGCCUCCGUCGGACGUUCCGGCCCGGUCGCAGGAAAAGACGGCUCCAAACUCGACGAUCAGAGGGGCCCCGUCACCGGAGAUGCACCACAUUCCCCAGGACGGCCACUACACAGAGCGUCACGAUGAGGGAGGGUCUAGGCCAUAACGUACGCGGAACCCGUCCAACCUAAGUGAAGCUAGGCCGAACACCACCAUACUAAUCAGGUACCCGCCGGUACCAGUGAACACCACCACGUCUAGUCGAGAGUGGAGUGAGUUGGCCGGAAGCCCUCACACAGUCUAGUUGAACCCGCUUUCGGAACGAUGUCGACCUCGGCCGCCGCCGCUGCGGACACCCGCGGCGAUUGGAGGAACCUCCGCAGCAACAAAAACAACAAACUUGGGAGGAGCAGCUCUGGGGCCCCCUUUGGGGUCAGGUCCAGGAGGACAUGCCUACUACCGCCGCGUUGGUCGCAGCGUUGGGAAGAACUUCCGCAGUAGAAACCCCAGUUGUACCAACAACACACCCACAACGAACGACGGCCUUACAACCACCACCACCACGCCGGCCAACCCCAGCUGCCACCAAAGACAACGACAACAGGACGAAGGAAACACAAGCAGAAGCAACCACAAGGGACCACAGCCGGUACAACGACACGUACAAGUUCAUGGAGGGAACCACCGGUAACACAACGCCACUCGAAUCACGAGAACCACAACAAGACCAAGUAGAAACGAGAAGCUGCCGCGUUCUACGGAGGGGUUGAACGAUUAGCAAAGCUUAAGAGUACCGCCUCGAGGGUCAGUUCCAAGCACAAUAGUGAGCAACCAACACCAACGAGGACUCAUCACAGCGCUCCAAGCCAUACGUGCGGCCAAGCCACGCAAUCCAACGAACGAAUCAGAACCAUAACACUAGGAAGCUGCUGUGGGGUGAAGAUGAACACGGAGGAUACCACAAGCAGGAAGCUAGACUAUCGAUCCAGUCCGGAACAGGACCCGCAGGAAAAAAGAGUAGAGAACAUUAGAAGAAUGAACAUACCAAAAGACUGGGCCAAAAGGAGUAUUUGCCCCAGUUGAACAAAUCCAAAAGCUAGGUCAAAAGGAAUAUUUGACUUAGUCGGUUUCGAAUUCCCCACUGAGAACCGAAACCGUCGAAAAACUCGUUAUAUAAGUCCACCCCUAAAGAGGGGGGCCACUGGCAAGUUUUUUUUCAAUAACCUCGAUUGGUUAAGGAAGGGUUUCUGCCUAUUUGGACUUGUAAACCGAAGACAUAGACCACUGCUUAACUUGUCAACACGAGUGUAUCCUUAGGUGUGGCCUCGUGAAUGGUGAGGUAUGUUAAUCUAUCCAGUUAGAGUGUUACUUUUUGUAUGUUCCUGAGAAGUUUGGUGUCUAGGGCUUCGAAUAUGUCUUGAUUGAUGUCUUCCAUCUUCCCAUGAAGUUUUAGAAGUGAGUCUUUUUCUUUGCUUCGGUGAGAGUCACUUGAUCUACGUCUAGGAUGUUUUUUUUCAUUAGGCACAUGGACCAGUUUUCGUAUACAAAACUCUGUACAUGACGGUUGUCUCUAGUGUUCACGUGAACCUGACAGAUGACCCUGAGAAGUACUUAGGUGGGAGCUAUAUUCUCCAACCUAACUCUAUCUUCAUGUGGGUUCACUCCCGUUACGAAAACGUUUAUUCAUCUCUAAGAUACCCCUGUGACGUGGGUGGUGUAUGGUGAAAACUCAUAGCACUGAAAAACAACUAAACACCGAGGAUAAAAAAAGGAUGCCCAAUGAAACCAUUUUCUAAACGGUAUAGCCCCCCCAUCGGUUCUCUAUAAUUGAAAAUACAAACAGUUAAGAUUAAACUCGUUAUAAAACACUCUCGAUUCUACUAAUCUUCAAAAUAUAGCAAACUAGGACGUAACGUAAGUCGAUAUAAACGAUGUCUGUUGUGGGGCGUUUUUUAUUAUAAACUAUGUCUG
rnacentral:rRNA from 1 species